UACCGGCAGCCCAAGUGAUGGCCGCUAUUAUUGGGCCUAAAGCGUCCGUAGCCGGCCGGACAAGUCCGUUGGGAAAUCCGCACGCUUAACGUGCGGGCGUCCAGCGGAAACUGUCCGGCUAGGGACCGGAAGACCCGAGGGGUACGUCCGGGGUAGGAGUGAAAUCCUGUAAUCCUGGACGGACCGCCGGUGGCGAAAGCGCCUCGGGAAGACGGAUCCGACGGUGAGGGACGAAAGCCAGGGUCUCGAACCGGAUUAGAAACCCGAGUAGUCC
rnacentral:rRNA from 1 species